AUACUUACCUGGCAGGAGAGAUACCAUGAUCACGAAGGUGGUUUUCCCAGGGCGAGGCUUAUCCAUUGCACUCCGGAUGUGCUGACCCCUGCGAUUUCCCCAAAUGUGGGAAACUCGACUGCAUAAUUUGUGGUAGUGGGGACUGCGUUCGCGCUUUCCCCUG
rnacentral:snRNA from 1 species